rnacentral:rRNA from 1 species
UACAUGGAGUGCAAACGUUGCUCGGAAUUAUUGGGCGUAAAGCGCACGUAGGCGGUUUGUUAAGUCGGAUGUGAAAUCCCUCGGCUCAACUGAGGAAGUGCAUCCGAAACUGGCAGGCUUGAGUACUAAAGAGGGUCGCGGAAUUCCCGGUGUAGAGGUGAAAUUCGUAGAUAUCGGGAGGAACACCGGUGGCGAAGGCGGCGACCUGAGUAGAUACUGACGCUGAGGUGCGAAAGCGUGGGGAGCAAACAGG